rnacentral:rRNA from 1 species
CGGUGGAGCAUGUGGUUUAAUUCGAUGCAACGCGAAAACUUACCCACCUUUGACAUGUACGGAAUCCUUUAGAGAUAGAGGAGUGCUCGAAAGAGAGCCGUAACACAGGUGCUGCAUGGCUGUCGUCAGCCCGUGUCGUGAGAUGUUGGGUUAAGUCCCGCAACGAGCGCAACCCUUGUCAUUAGUUGCUACAUUCAGUUGGGCAACUCUAAUGAGACUGCCGGUGACAAGCCGGAGGAAGUGGGGAUGACGUCAAGUCCUCAUGGCCCUUAUAGGUGGGGCUACACACGUCAUACAAUGGCUGGUACAAAGGGUUGCCAACCCGCGAGGGGGAGCCAAUCCCAUAAAGCCAGUCGUAGUCCGGAUCGUAGUCUGCAACUCGACUACGUGAAGUCGGAAUCGCUAGUAAUCGUGGAUCAGAAUGUCACGGUGAAUACGUUCCCGGGUCUU